GACGAACGCUGGCGGCGUGCUUAACACAUGCAAGUCGAACGAAGAGCGAUGGAAGCUUGCUUCUAUCAAUCUUAGUGGCGAACGGGUGAGUAACGCGUAAUCAACCCGCCCUUCAGAGGGGGACAACAGUUGGAAACGACUGCUAAUACCGCAUACGAUCUAAUCUCGGCAUCGAGGAUAGAUGAAAGGUGGCCUCUACAUGUAAGCUAUCACUGAAGGAGGGGAUUGCGUCUGAUUAGCUAGUUGGAGGGGUAACGGCCCACCAAGGCGAUGAUCAGUAGCCGGUCUGAGAGGAUGAACGGCCACAUUGGGACUGAGACACGGCCCAGACUCCUACGGGAGGCAGCAGUGGGGAAUCUUCCGCAAUGGACGAAAGUCUGACGGAGCAACGCCGCGUGAGCGAUGACGGCCUUCGGGUUGUAAAGCUCUGUUAAUCGGGACGAAAGGCCUUCUUGCGAAUAGUGAGAAGGAUUGACGGUACCGGAAUAGAAAGCCACGGCUAACUACGUG
rnacentral:rRNA from 1 species